GCGGAGGUUGCCAAGCCAGGUCAAAGGCGCUGGGUUUAGGUCCCAGAUGCAGGCACCGACUUAAGUGUCAGCAGGGAAAUCCCGUAGGGGUUCGCGAGUUCAAAUCUCGCCCUCCGCA
rnacentral:tRNA from 1 species